rnacentral:misc_RNA from 1 species
AUGAAGAACGUAGCGAAAUGCUAUAAGUAAUGUGAAUUGCAGAAUCCAGUGAAUCAUCGAAUCUUUGAACGCACAUUGCGCCCGCCAGCAUUCUGGCGGGCAUGCCUGUUCGAGCGUCAUUUCAACCCUCGACCUCCCCUUGGGGAGGUCGGCGUUGGGGACCGGCAGCACACCGCCGGCCCUGAAAUGGAGUGGCGGCCCGUCCGCGGCGACCUCUGCGCAGUAAUACAGCUCGCACCGGGACCCCGACGCGGCCACGCCGUAAAACACCCAACUUCUGAACGUUGACCUCGAAUCAGGUAGGACUACCCGCUGAACUUAAGCAUAUCAAUAAGCGGAGGA